ensembl:misc_RNA 7SK 7SK RNA
GGAUGUGAGGGUGAUAGGAUCUCCACUGAUCACCAGGAUUGAUCUGACUAGGCAGGGGUCCUAAACCUCCCUCACCACUCCAUGUGCAUUCCUCCCUACAGCAGUGUGCUCUACCAAAAAGGACAAGCUUCCCCAAUGGAGGAGGAUAGCUCUUUGCUCAAGGGUAAAAGAGUAGCUGUUCCCCUGCUAGAACCUCCAAACAGAUUCUCAAAGAACUCAGAUUCAACAGAAGGAAAAUGAACGACCCAAAAAAAUGAGU